rnacentral:tRNA from 1 species
GCCCGUUUACUGCAUGAAAUCCGGUGGAAAAAUCAAACCUAAAGUCAGUGCAAGGGGAUUGAAAAUCCCCGUGUCCGUGGUUCGAUUCCGCGUCCGGGCACCA